rnacentral:antisense_RNA from 1 species
GACCCGUUCCCUCCUGGUCGUUUCCGUAGUAACCUCUUAUCGUAGCGGGCAGCUGUGAGUAGCGCUCACAUCCGCCGCUGCCCUGUCGAAUUGGGGAAAGAGUUCUUGUGUUCUGAGGAGGGUUUGGCUAUGGUCCUUGACCCUAUUCUCCCUGCCUCAGACUUGCCUCCCAGGUAGCGAAGUCUCCCUGUGGGUUUCAUAUGGCUUGGUCCUUUAGGAGCUGGAAAAAUUAGGUAUAAAGUCCCCCCACCCCCUUGACAGAACGCCUCUUCUGACUCCAGAGGUCCUUUAUCAAGUGCCAGGCACUGGUCUAGGGGCAUUUGAAAAAGAUUCACUGAAGGACAUUUCUUAAGGGUUCGCUUUCUCAGAGGGCAGCUUCUCAAACUCAUUCGCUGGUUUCUUUUCCUCUUUUUGCCUGUUUAAGGAAUAUAAGAGGAUUGUAUGCCCUGGCCUCCCUGUGAUGGGGUUGAACUACAUGACAUGUUCUCCAAAUUAAUUGUGAGCAUAGCAUUUAAUUGUUGAUGCAAGACCUUCCAGAACUCUUUUUCUCUUUGCCAUGGCAAUCAUCAGUGUUCCAGAGAGCAUAUGCACUAUCAGUCUUGGUAUUGGAGGGAAGAUGAUGCAGAACAGAGUCCCAGUCACAUCAUGAAGGACAUGUAAAGUGAAAAGUAAACCUUGGUUGUUUUAA